UACGGAGGGUGCAAGCGUUAUCCGGAUUCACUGGGCUUAAAGGGCGCGUAGGCGGGCCAGCCAGUCUGUGGUGAAAGCCUCCAGCUUAACUGGAGAAGUGCCGUGGAUACUGCUGGCCUCGAGGAGGGUAGGGGCAUCUGGAACGGUCGGUGGAGCGGUGAAAUGCGUUGAUAUCGACCGGAACUCCGGUGGCGAAGGCGAGGUGCUGGGCCCUUUCUGACGCUGAUGCGCGAAAGCCAGGGGAGCAAACGGG
rnacentral:rRNA from 1 species